AGUAUGCUGCCCAUGAACGACUAUGUUUGGAAUAUUUGGAAGAGAACUACUGAGGUGUUUAAGUAGAAUGUGCUACAACCACCAUUUUUAUUAGACAAUGAGAAAUAAAACUUUUGGGAGAUAAUCAACCAUUUCUGGACUCUGCUGGGUUGUCUAUGGAGUUUCUAACAAACUGAGUGAUUAUAAAAAAGAUUCCCUUGUGUGUUUAUAAUAACUCAAAAAACGAAGAAAGCCUUCAGUCUACAAUAAUAGUAAAUUUCCUGCAAGUAAAUCAUAGUUUUUCUAUGAACCAAAGACCUAAUUUCCUUUCGAAAAGCUUUUCUCUCGUUUUACUGACAAAGAACAUAGAAUGAGAAACAAUGAUA